UAAGCUUCACUCUCUUGUAUACAUUCACGGAAUGCUUCUAGGUUAAUCUCAUUCUAGUGGCAUUUUUUUAGGUGAAGCAAUAAAAUUGUUGCCCUCGCUAUCCAGUGCUUCCUUCAUGUUGCAUUUGGACGUUGGGUAACAACAUCU
rnacentral:snoRNA from 1 species